GGCGGCAGGCCUAACACAUGCAAGUCGAGCGGUAGAGAGGUGCUUGCACCUCUUGAGAGCGGCGGACGGGUGAGUAAUGCCUAGGAAUCUGCCUGGUAGUGGGGGAUAACGCUCGGAAACGGACGCUAAUACCGCAUACGUCCUACGGGAGAAAGCAGGGGACCUUCGGGCCUUGCGCUAUCAGAUGAGCCUAGGUCGGAUUAGCUAGUUGGUGAGGUAAUGGCUCACCAAGGCGACGAUCCGUAACUGGUCUGAGAGGAUGAUCAGUCACACUGGAACUGAGACACGGUCCAGACUCCUACGGGAGGCAGCAGUGGGGAAUAUUGGACAAUGGGCGAAAGCCUGAUCCAGCCAUGCCGCGUGUGUGAAGAAGGUCUUCGGAUUGUAAAGCACUUUAAGUUGGGAGGAAGGGCAUUAACCUAAUACGUUAGUGUUUUGACGUUACCGACAGAAUAAGCACCGGCUAACUCUGUGCCAGCAGCCGCGGUAAUACAGAGGGUGCAAGCGUUAAUCGGAAUUACUGGGCGUAAAGCGCGCGUAGGUGGUUUGUUAAGUUGGAUGUGAAAUCCCCGGGCUCAACCUG
rnacentral:rRNA from 1 species